GAUGAACGCUGGCGGCGUGCCUAAUACAUGCAAGUCGAGCGAACAGGUGAGGGGUUUGCUCCUCUGACGUUUGCGGCGGACGGGUGAGUAACAUGUGGAUAACCUACCUAUAAGACUGGGAUAACUUCGGGAAACCGGAGCUAAUCCCGGAAAAUAUCUUGAAGCGCAUGGUUCAAUAGAGAAAGACGGUUUUGCUUUCACUUAUCGAUGGAUCCGCGCCGCAUGUUCUAGUUGGAAAGGUAACGGCUUACCAAGGCAACGAUGCGUAGCCGACAUGAGAGAGUGGUCCGCCACACGGGCAGUGAGACACGGUCCAGACACCUACAGUGAGCCGCAGUAGGGAAUCUUACGCGAUGGGCGAAAGCCGGACAGAGCAACACCGCGUGAGUGAUGAAGGUCUGCCGAUCGUAAAACUCUGUUAUUAGGGAAAAACAAAUGUGUAAGUAACUAUGCACGUCUUGACGGUACCUAAUCAGAAAGCCACGGCUAACUACGUG
rnacentral:rRNA from 1 species